rnacentral:rRNA from 1 species
UACGAAGGGGGCGAGCGUUGUUCGGAUUUACUGGGCGUAAAGGGCGCGUAGGCGGCCUGUUAAGUCGGACGUGAAAUCCCUCGGCUCAACCGGGGAACUGCGUCCGAUACUGGCGGGCUUGAAUUCGGGAGAGGGAUGUGGAAUUCCAGGUGUAGCGGUGAAAUGCGUAGAUAUCUGGAGGAACACCGGUGGCGAAGGCGGCAUCCUGGACCGACAUUGACGCUGAGGCGCGAAAGCCAGGGGAGCAAACGGG